UACGAAGGGAGCUAGCGUUGUUCGGAAUCACUGGGCGUAAAGCGCACGUAGGCGGAUGUGUCAGUCAGGGGUGAAAUCCCGGAGCUCAACUUCGGAACUGCCUUUGAUACAGCACGUCUUGAGUCCGAUAGAGGUGGGUGGAAUUCCUAGUGUAGAGGUGAAAUUCGUAGAUAUUGGGAGGAACACCAGUGGCGAAGGCGGCUACCUGGACCGGUUCUGACGCUGAUGCGCGAAAGCGUGGGGAGCGAACAGG
rnacentral:rRNA from 1 species